rnacentral:rRNA from 1 species
UACGUAGGUGGCAAGCGUUGUCCGGAUUUAUUGGGCGUAAAGAGCUCGUAGGCGGUUCCGUAAGUCGUGAAGUCAAAUCUCUGGGCUCAACCCAGAAUCGCUUCCGAUACUGCGGUGACUGGAGUCCGGUAGGGGAGUGUGGAAUUCCUAGUGUAGCGGUGAAAUUCGUAGAUAUUAGGAAGAACACCAGUGGCGAAGGCGGCCAUCUGGCUCGGUACUGACGCUCAGGCUCGAAAGCGUGGGGAGCAAACAGG